GACGAGGGAUCCUAGCGUUGUUCGGAAUCAUUGGGCGUAAAGCGGGUGCAGGUGGCUAUGUAAGUCAGAUGUGAAAGCCCAGGGCUCAACCCUGGAAGUGCAUUUGAUACUGCGUAGCUUGAGUGCUGGAGAGGUUACUAGAAUUCUUGGUGUAGUGGUGAAAUACGUAGAUAUCAAGAGGAAUACCGGUGGCGAAGGCGGGUAACUGGCCAGACACUGACACUCAGACCCGAAAGCGUGGGGAU
rnacentral:rRNA from 1 species